CGCAAGGAAGUAAGAUCCCUGAAAGAUGAUCAGGUUGAUAGGUCUGAGGUGGAAGUGUGGCGACACAUGGAGCUGACAGAUACUAAUCGAUCGAGGACUUAACCAAAUU
rnacentral:rRNA from 1 species